rnacentral:rRNA from 1 species
CCUACGGGUGGCAGCAGUGAGGAAUAUUGGUCAAUGGGCGGAAGCCUGAACCAGCCAAGUAGCGUGCAGGAUGAAGGCCCUACGGGUCGUAAACCGCUUUUGCACGGGGAUAAAACGCUCCACGUGUGGAGGUCUGCAGGUACCGUGCGAAUAAGGGCCGGCUAAUUCCGUGCCAGCAGCCGCGGUAAUACGGAAGGUCCGAGCGUUAUCCGGAUUUAUUGGGUUUAAAGGGUGCGUAGACGGUUUGAUAAGUCAGUGGUGAAAUCUUGCGGCUCAACUUUGGAAUUGCAACUGAUACUGGCAGUCUAGAGAAUAGUUGAGGUAGGCGGAAUGCAUGGUGUAGCGGUGAAAUGCUUAGAGAUCAUAAAGAACACCGAUUGCGAAGGCAGCUUACUAAGCUACUUCUGACGUUGAUGCACGAAAGCGUGGGGAGCAAACAGGAUUAGAUACCCGAGUAGUC